AUGAAUACUAACUGAAAUCACAUAAUCACUUAAUCGUGCUUAUGUGAUAACGUAAGGGAAAAUAAUGAUACUACCUUACUAUUAGUGUUGUCUAAAUUACUGGUGCCAGAAGACUCGGUAACACCAGAAACGCGAACGUUAGUCGUCUUAAACAGGCGUAAAGGGUCAGUAGGCAGCUUAUAAAUCUUUAUUUGCCUAAUUAGAGUUUUUUUAUAUUAUUUAAUAAUAUUUUCUCGCUAAGCGUAAAAAAAAUUUAAAUAAAGAAUAAAGAGAAGUUAAUUGGGACUACCUCCUUGUUUUUAUUAUGUUUAUACAUCUAGAGCCCUCUAAAUUUAACCCAAUCCAAUAAUAGGAAAAUAGGGACCUUUGCUUCAAACCCUAAAUAAAUAGAACUGCCAAGGAGUAAAAAUUAAGUUAGUGGGUUAAAAAUAUAAACUUUAAAAUAAUAGGGGUGUUAGAUCUUAAGCAAUAAUUUAAUAAAUCUGGAAAAAAUAUUACAAGCUAGAAUCAUAUUGAGGAUAAACCAAAGAAUGCUUAAGAGAAGGGAUUAAAUCCUUAGAUACUAAGUGGAAUACUAAUGGCGAAAGCUUUUAUCUAUUAAUGAUUGACGCUGAGGGACGAAAGUGAGAACAGGGAAUAGGAUUAGAUACCCAGUUACCUCUCACCGUAAAACGAUGAAUGGUAGUUGUUAAUUAAAAAUUAGUAACGAUGUUAACGCGAUAACCAUUCCGCCUUGAGAGUACGGUUGCAAAACUGAAACCAAAAAAAUUAGUCGGUCUCGA
rnacentral:rRNA from 1 species